rnacentral:rRNA from 1 species
GAUGAACGCUGGCGGCGUGCUUAACACAUGCAAGUCGAGCGAGUGAGUUCUUCGGAACGAUCUAGCGGCGGACGGGUGAGUAACACGUGGGCAACCUGCCUCAUAGAGGGGAAUAGCCUCCCGAAAGGGAGAUUAAUACCGCAUAACAUCGUUGAAGGGCAUCCUUCGAUGAUCAAAGGAGCAAUCCGCUAUGAGAUGGGCCCGCGGCGCAUUAGCUAGUUGGUGAGGUAACGGCUCACCAAGGCGACGAUGCGUAGCCGACCUGAGAGGGUGAUCGGCCACAUUGGGACUGAGACACGGCCCAGACUCCUACGGGAGGCAGCAGUGGGGAAUAUUGCACAAUGGGGGGAACCCUGAUGCAGCAACGCCGCGUGAGUGAUGACGGCCUUCGGGUUGUAAAGCUCUGUCUUUGGGGACGAUAAUGACGGUGCCCAAGGAGGAAGUCACGGCUAACUACGUGCCAGCAGCCGCCGCGG